GAGGAAAAGAAACUAACAAGGAUUCCCCUAGUAACUGCGAGUGAAGCGGGAAGAGCUCAAAUUUAAAAUCUGGCGUCCUCUGGUCGUCCGAGUUGUAGUCUGGAGAAGCGUUUUCCGUGUUGGACCGUGUAUAAGUCUCUUGGAACAGGGCGUCAUAGAGGGUGAGAAUCCCGUCUUUGACACGGACUACCAAUGCUAUGUGAUGCGCUCUCAAAGAGUCGAGUUGUUUGGGAAUGCAGCUCAAAAUGGGUGGUAAAUUCCAUCUAAAGCUAAAUAUAGGCGAGAGACCGAUAGCGAACAAGUACCGUGAGGGAAAGAUGAAAAGCACUUUGGAAGGAGAGUUAAACAGUACGUGAAAUUGCUGAAAGGGAAACGCUUGAAGUCAGUCGUGUCUGCCAGGACUCAGCCUUGCUUCUGCUCGGUGUACUUUCUGGUUGGAUGGGCCAACAUCAGUUUUGACCGUUGGAGAAAGGCUUUGGGAAUGUGGCACCUUCGGGUGUGUUAUAGCCCUUUGUUGUAUACAACGGUUGGGAUUGAGGACUGCAGCACGCCUUUAUGGCCGGGGCUCGCCCACGUACGUGCUUAGGAUGUUGGCAUAAUGGCUUUAAGCGACCCGUCUG
rnacentral:rRNA from 1 species